UACAGAGCCACAAGCGUUAGGCGGAAUCACUGGGCUUAAAGCGUGUGUAGGCGGGUUGGUAAGUAUCUUGUGAAAUCCCACGGCUUAACCGUGGAAUUGCUGGGUAUACUGCCGAUCUUGAGUCAUCUAGAGGUAACCGGAACAGAUGGUGGAGCGGUGAAAUGCAUAGAUAUCAUCUGGAACGCCAAUGGUGCAGACAGGUUACUGGGGAUGUACUGACGCUGAGGCACGAAAGCCAGGGGAGCAAACGGG
rnacentral:rRNA from 1 species